rnacentral:rRNA from 1 species
UUGACCUCGGAUCAGGUAGGAAUACCCGCUGAACUUAAGCAUAUCAAUAAGUCGGAGGA